GGACUAGCACAGCCACUGGCACGAAAGAAACUCAAAAAUGACACAGGAAUCGUCUCUCGGCCCCUUUCACCAGUGUGCCGCCGGGGUGUGCCAUCUUCUCGGCCCAACGUGCUCAGCCCCUGUGGGAAGGAGCAUGUGAGCUAGCGAGUGCAGGAUCCUUCCAGCCACUCUAGGUACCAACACAGGAACAAUCUCCAUGUGGGGCCCGUGGCCAGACCAGGCAUAUCACCUUGAGGGGAACACGACGGCACCCAGGAGACCCAUGAUGCAUACACAGCUGUGCACACCCAUGCAAAUCCACGUGUGGAUUAUCACCAGCAAUUGCAGGGAAGAUGAUCUUAUGAGAGUACUUGGAUCCAAAGGUGUACGGGACUAGGUUCUUUUUGGUUCUCCAAGUGAUUUUGUCACACAACAACUUUGAAGAAUGAAUUCAUUGGAGUGCAUGUGCCCCAUAAGAAGGUGGAGCAGAAAUACCAGCAUGAGAGUCUAAGAAGUGAUUCGGUGGUUGACAGAGCACAAUCAGCAAUCUAGACAGGUCUUUAGACAUGGGCACCAGUAAAUAUUUAGAGAAGGAGGAAGGAUGCAAUGGCAAAGUAGUCUAGUCAAAGAUCAGGGAAGAUAUGGUAAAAAGAAAAGAAGGAUUCAAGGCAGAGAAUGGUCUAAGUACUAGAAAAGCUAAGGAGAUCAGAUCCACAGCUCCACUGCAAAAGCUAACUUGAGAAAGAAGGCAAUUUCUUCCAUUGAGGAAGAACAAGAAGAGGAUAAAUAAAGACAGCAAGUUUGAGAAGGCAGGUAGAGAAUAUUAAGGGAAUUGUGUAAAUUAUUUUUCUUAUCUGCUGAAGGUGAAAGUAGAAGUGUGUCAAUUGUUAAGAGACAGUAGAAGCAGAAUAUGAGUGUAUGUGCAAGAAGUUGCAACAAGAAUAGUGAAAACAAUAUAAAAAUUUGAGGGAUCCUAUUCUUUGUGAUAGUGAAAAAAUUACAUUAAACAUUUUAUGCCAUGUCUAAAAUUUACUGAAAUGGAAGGGACAUUCAAUAAAUUUAGCUUUGUUCUCAGUUAUAAAGA
rnacentral:lncRNA from 1 species